rnacentral:misc_RNA from 1 species
AAAAAAAAAAAACUAGAUACUAACACAUUUAAUUUUUUUUUGUU